AACGACUCGUAUGUCGUUGUGAUUUCUCUUUUAAAAAGAAUUGCGUACAAAAGUAAGAGGACGUAGAAGCGACGAUAUUAUUUUACAAUGCGUGCACGAACGACACGUUCCAUCAUAGAUAGAAAAACAGCGAUCUCUUCUUCUCGAAUUCUAAACGAAUAUUCUUUUAGGAGAAAGACGGACGCCUCUUCGUGUUCCGUUUCAUGCUCAGCGAUGUACAGUUUACAGCGUAGACGUGCUACUAAUUCUAAUUUAGGCCCGCUGUCCACGAAGUGUCGCUUCAUAGAAACGUAAGCGUAAUCUAUAACGAUACGUCUCAAAUGUCGAUAAACGCGCUUUCGUCCUACAUCCAUUUACAGCUGCAACGUACGCUACUGUACGGUUUGCCGCUGUUCAGGCGCAUGUUACUUUACGACGAUCGUACUGAAGCUCGGUCUGCACAUCGAAAAAACAUGUCAUGAUGCAUCGACACUCAGCUUUCACGAAAUCUGCAUCAGUUUUAACCUACGUUGAAACACACGUUUCAAAAUGUCCGAUUAUUUUCCAACUCCAUUAUUGUCGUCAUCAAUCGGACUAUCGCAGAUCAUAAAUUGAUCGAUGCGUCGAUUAUAACAAAAUACAAAAUUAAAGAUUCUCUUCGAGAGGAAAUUUAAUUCCUACGAAAUCGUAUUCGGUAUCCUAAUUCCUGCAUCGAUAUGAGAUAGUUUCGAUACAAAUCCGCCGAUACAGAUCUACGUACGCUGUAACAUGUCUGACGAAAGCUGCUUACCGAUGCAUGGUAAUAUGUUUCGACGCGUAUAGUCUCAUUUCACUGUUGAUAUCAACGCGCUAAUACGCGUCUAUGAAGCGGCGCUUCGUGGAUAGCGGACCUUAGCUAUUCAAAUGUACAGCGUUACUGGAAUCUAGACAAAAUGCUACGAAAGGAGGGGUCGAUCGAACGAUACCAUGGUAAGAGAUGGACUGAAGAUUCUACGAAAUUUAACGUGGAAGCGGAAAUGACCGUAAUCAAAGGGAAGAAAUGUGUGAUGUUGUUGCAAGAGUACCUGCAUGGGGCUGCUCUGGUUGUCAACCUUGUCGAUACCAUCGACAGGUUGUUGAGGACCUCCUAGAAGAGCGGUGAGCACCCUGAGUCCUACUGACAGUAAAUUUGCCCAAGGACUGGCUGGUGCUCCAUCGUCGAUCUCGUUUUUGCUUGGACCGGCUACACCGCCUGUUUGACCUAAGAGCAUCUGCAUCAGCAUGCUCAGCAUGUUCGACCACGAAAACCCGGUCAUCGAGGGCGACCUUCUUCAUGGCGUUUGGCUUCUCCGCGAAUUUCCUCUCGUCCCUCACCUGCUGUUGGAACUGUUGCGGAUAUUGAGGAUGCUGUGGCAGUGAUGCUGCUUGUCCAAGAACAAGC